rnacentral:rRNA from 2 species
UGGGCGUAAGCGAGCGCAGGCGGUUUUUUAAGUCUGAUGUGAAAGCCUUCGGCUCAACCGAAGAAGUGCAUCGGAAACUGGGAAACUUGAGUGCAGAAGAGGACAGUGGAACUCCAUGUGUAGCGGUGAAAUGCGUAGAUAUAUGGAAGAACACCAGUGGCGAAGGCGGCUGUCUGGUCUGUAACUGACGCUGAGGCUCGAAAGUAUGGGUAGCAAACAGGAUUAGAUACCCUGGUAGUCCAUACCGUAAACGAUGAAUGCUAAGUGUUGGAGGGUUUCCGCCCUUCAGUGCUGCAGCUAACGCAUUAAGCAUUCCGCCUGGGGAGUACGGCCGCAAGGCUGAAACUCAAAGGAAUUGACGGGGGCCCGCACAAGCGGUGGAGCAUGUGGUUUAAUUCGAAGCUACGCGAAGAACCUUACCAGGUCUUGACAUACUAUGCAAAUCUAAGAGAUUAGACGUUCCCUUCGGGGACAUGGAUACAGGUGGUGCAUGGUUGUCGUCAGCUCGUGUCGUGAGAUGUUGGGUUAAGUCCCGCAACGAGCGCAACCCUUAUUAUCAGUUGCCAGCAUUAAGUUGGGCACUCUGGUGAGACUGCCGGUGACAAACCGGAGGAAGGUGGGGAUGACGUCAAAUCAUCAUGCCCCUUAUGACCUGGGCUACACACGUGCUACAAUGGAUGGUACAACGAGUUGCGAACUCGCGAGAGUAAGCUAAUCUCUUAAAGCCAUUCUCAGUUCGGAUUGUAGGCUGCAACUCGCCUACCUGAAGUCGGAAUCGCUAGUAAUCGCGGAUCAGCAUGCCGCGGUGAAUACGUUC